AAGAUUAUACUUUCAGGGAUCAUUUCUAUAGCUUGUUACCUUGAAGGAGCAGAAUCCUUUCCUAUAACACUUUUAGGGACUGGCCUUUGUGUUGUCUGAGAAUUUCUUGGGUCUGGCAACAGGCUGGUCAAUAUUUACUGAAGACAAACUCUGCAACUGUGCUCAGCCUUGUGGAGGAAACAAUGUGGGUCUCUGAGAAAU
rnacentral:snoRNA from 1 species